ACGGCCACAUUACGUUAAAAUAGCAGUUCCCGUACGAUCACCAAAUUUAAACAACGUCGGGCCUGGUCAGUACUUGGAUGGGUGACCGCUUGAGAAUACCAGGUGCUGUAG